rnacentral:rRNA from 1 species
UGGGGGAAUAUUGGGCAAUGGGCGAAAGCCUGACCCAGCAACGCCGCGUGAAGGAAGAAGGCCUUCGAGUUGUAAACUUCUUUUACCAGGGACGAAGGACGUGACGGUACCUGGAGAAAAAGCAACGGCUAACUACGUGCCAGCAGCCGCGGUAAUACGUAUGGUGCAAGCGUUAUCCGGAUUUACUGGGUGUAAAGGGAGCGCAGGCGGUGCGGCAAGUCUGAUGUGAAAGCCCGGGGCUCAACCCCGGUACUGCAUUGGAAACUGUCGUACUAGAGUGUCGGAGGGGUAAGUGGAAUUCCUAGUGUAGCGGUGAAAUGCGUAGAUAUUAGGAGGAACAUCAGUGGCGAAGGCGGUUUACUGGACUGUAACUGACGUUGAGGCGCGAAAGC